rnacentral:rRNA from 1 species
UUUUUGGAGAGUUUGAUCCUGGCUCAGGACGAACGCUGGCGGCGUGCCUAAUACAUGCAAGUCGAGCGGAUCUUGUCCUUCGGGACAAGGUUAGCGGCGGACGGGUGAGUAACACGUAGGCAACCUGCCCAUAAGACCGGGAUAACUGGCGGAAACGCCUGCUAAUACCGGAUAAUCGAUUCGCCCGCCUGGGCGAAUCGUGAAAGAUGCUUCGGCAUCGCUUGUGGAUGGGCCUGCGGCGCAUUAGCUAGUUGGCGGGGUAACGGCCCACCAAGGCGACGAUGCGUAGCCGACCUGAGAGGGUGAUCGGCCACA